GGCGGCCCGAGUUGUAAUUUGGAGGCGCAUUUUCGGAGCGGGCGCCGUCCCAAGUUCCUUGGAACAGGACGUCGCAGAGGGUGAGAAUCCCGUGUCUGGAUGGCCGCGCCGCUCCAUGUGAGGUGUGUCCGACGAGUCGAGUUGUUUGGGAAUGCAGCUCAAAGUGGGUGGUAAAUUUCAUCUAAAGCUAAAUAUUGGCGAGAGACCGAUAGCGCACAAGUAGAGUGAUCGAAAGAUGAAAAGCACUUUGAAAAGAGAGUUAAAAAGUACGUGAAAUUGUUGAAAGGGAAGCGCUUGAGACCAGACUCGGCCGCCGGCGAUCAUCGGUGCUUCUGCGCCGUGCGCUCGUCGGUGGACGGGCCAGCAUCGGUUCUGGCGGCGGGAAAAAGGUCCGGGCAAUGUGGCUCCUCUCGGGGAGUGUUUAUAGGCCCGGGCGUCAUGCCGCCAGCCGGGACCGAGGACCGCGCUUCGGCUAGG
rnacentral:rRNA from 1 species